UACGAAGGGGGCUAGCGUUGCUCGGAAUCACUGGGCGUAAAGGGUGCGUAGGCGGGUCUUUAAGUCAGGGGUGAAAUCCUGGAGCUCAACUCCAGAACUGCCUUUGAUACUGAGGAUCUUGAGUACGGGAGAGGUGAGUGGAACUGCGAGUGUAGAGGUGAAAUUCGUAGAUAUUCGCAAGAACACCGGUGGCGAAGGCGGCCAACUGGACCAUUACUGACGCUGAGGCGCGAAAGCGUGGGGAGCAAACAGG
rnacentral:rRNA from 1 species